rnacentral:rRNA from 1 species
GAUGAACGCUGGCGGCGUGCCUAAUACAUGCAAGUCGAGCGAACGGACGAGAAGCUUGCUUCUCUGAUGUUAGCGGCGGACGGGUGAGUAACACGUGGAUAACCUACCUAUAAGACUGGGAUAACUUCGGGAAACCGGAGCUAAUACCGGAUAAUAUUUUGAACCGCAUGGUUCAAAAGUGAAAGACGGUCUUGCUGUCACUUAUAGAUGGAUCCGCGCUGCAUUAGCUAGUUGGUAAGGUAACGGCUUACCAAGGCAACGAUGCAUAGCCGACCUGAGAGGGUGAUCGGCCACACUGGAACUGAGACACGGUCCAGACUCCUACGGGAGGCAGCAGUAGGGAAUCUUCCGCAAUGGGCGAAAGCCUGACGGAGCAACGCCGCGUGAGUGAUGAAGGUCUUCGGAUCGUAAAACUCUGUUAUUAGGGAAGAACAUAUGUGUAAGUAACUGUGCACAUCUUGACGGUACCUAAUCAGAAAGCCACGGCUAACUACGUGCCAGCAGCCGCGGUAAUACGUAGGUGGCAAGCGUUAUCCGGAAUUAUUGGGCGUAAAGCGCGCGUANGCGGUUUUUUAAGUCUGAUGUGAAAGCCCACGGCUCAACCGUGGAGGGUCAUUGGAAACUGGAAAACUUGAGUGCAGAAGAGGAAAGUGGAAUUCCAUGUGUAGCGGUGAAAUGCGCAGAGAUAUGGAGGAACACCAGUGGCGAAGGCGACUUUCUGGUCUGUAACUGACGCUGAUGUGCGAAAGCGUGGGGAUCAAACAGGAUUAGAUACCCUGGUAGUCCACGCCGUAAACGAUGAGUGCUAAGUGUUAGGGGGUUUCCGCCCCUUAGUGCUGCAGCUAACGCAUUAAGCACUCCGCCUGGGGAGUACGACCGCAAGGUUGAAACUCAAAGGAAUUGACGGGGACCCGCACAAGCGGUGGAGCAUGUGGUUUAAUUCGAAGCAACGCGAAGAACCUUACCAAAUCUUGACAUCCUUUGACAACUCUAGAGAUAGAGCCUUCCCCUUCGGGGGACAAAGUGACAGGUGGUGCAUGGUUGUCGUCAGCUCGUGUCGUGAGAUGUUGGGUUAAGUCCCGCAACGAGCGCAACCCUUAAGCUUAGUUGCCAUCAUUAAGUUGGGCACUCUAAGUUGACUGCCGGUGACAAACCGGAGGAAGGUGGGGAUGACGUCAAAUCAUCAUGCCCCUUAUGAUUUGGGCUACACACGUGCUACAAUGGACAAUACAAAGGGCAGCGAAACCGCGAGGUCAAGCAAAUCCCAUAAAGUUGUUCUCAGUUCGGAUUGUAGUCUGCAACUCGACUAUAUGAAGCUGGAAUCGCUAGUAAUCGUAGAUCAGCAUGCUACGGUGAAUACGUUCCCGGGUCU